rnacentral:lncRNA from 1 species
AAUAGCGCCUGCCUAUCAUUCUAUAAAGAAGAGAAACAUGCAGAGCAGACAGAUAUCAAUAUCCAACGGCUGUUCUCUUAUGGAAAAUACCUUUCAAUCUUUACACUGAAUACCAUGGAUGGUGAUGAUGAGAGAUGCGUGCAUGUGGCGGCAGAUAGGAGAAUAGGCAAGCUGAUGGGAUCAAUGACAGGAAUGGAGAGAAGGGACCUGUCUACGGAUAUGAGAGUUGCCACUAGGAGGCAAAGAGAGCAGGCGUUUCAUUUAGCCGAAUGCCUCAUUUGAGAUGCUAUCAACCUCUCAUCUGAUUUCAUACAUGAGGAAGAGAAAGAGAAAUGUUUUGAGAACAAGAUCAGAGCUGUUCUUCUCGGUCUCCAUCUCACUCUGGGUUUACAGAGACAGGAGGGAAAGCUACCUUUAAGCAUCAGCAGAAAGCUCAGGAUGGCCUCUGCUUUGAGAGUUAGCUGGAAUCCCAGAAAAGAAACUUGCUGAGGAUCAGAGCCGUGCCCGGCAUCAGUGGAGAGGGCAUGCUCAUCUCAGUCCAAAAUCACCGAUGGGAGACUGAACGCCUGUGUGGCUGCAUGCCCGCUCAGGGGCCCGGCUGCACACACAGGCCUUGCUCCGAUGAGUUCUGGAUCCGCUCUCCUGAGCUCGUGAGUGAUGCCAGAG